UACGUAGGGACCAAGCGUUGUCCGGAAUCAUUGGGCGUAAAGAGCGUGUAGGCGGCUUGUUAAGUCUUGCGUGAAAUCUCGGGGCUCAACCCCGAGCGGUCGUGAGAAACUGGCAGGCUAGAGUGCGGGAGAGGAGAGUGGAAUUCCUGGUGUAGCGGUGAAAUGCGCAGAUAUCAGGAAGAACACCCGUGGCGAAGGCGGCUCUCUGGAGCGCAACUGACGCUGAGACGCGAAAGCGUGGGGAGCAAACAGG
rnacentral:rRNA from 1 species